rnacentral:rRNA from 1 species
AUACGUAGGGGGCGAGCGUUGUCCGGAAUGAUUGGGCGUAAAGGGCGCGUAGGCGGCGCGGUAAGUCUGGAGUGAAAGUCCUGCUUUCAAGGUGGGAAUUGCUUUGGAUACUGCCGCGCUUGAGUGCAGGAGAGGUUAUCGGAAUUCCCGGUGUAGCGGUGAAAUGCGUAGAGAUUGGGAGGAACACCAGUGGCGAAGGCGACUUACUGGACUGUAACUGACGCUGAGGCGCGAAAGUGUGGGGAGCAAACAGGAUUAGAUACCCUGGUAGUCCACACUGUAAACGAUGAAUGCUAGGUGUAGGGGGUAUCGACCCCUUUUGUGCCGGAGUCAACACAAUAAGCAUUCCGCCUGGGGAGUACGGCCGCAAGGUUGAAACUCAAAUGAAUUGACGGGG